rnacentral:rRNA from 1 species
UACGAAGGGGGCUAGCGUUGCUCGGAAUCACUGGGCGUAAAGCGCACGUAGGCGGCUUGUUAAGUCAGGGGUGAAAUCCUGGAGCUCAACUCCAGAACUGCCUUUGAUACUGGCGAGCUUGAGUCCGGGAGAGGUGAGUGGAACUGCGAGUGUAGUGGUGGAAUGCGUAGAUAUCGGGAGGAACACCAGUGGCGAAGGCGGUUACCUGGAGCUUUGCUGACGCUGAUGCGCGAAAGCGUGGGGAGCGAUCCGG